rnacentral:tRNA from 1 species
GGCGAAGCCGGCUAACUUGGUAGGCUCCGCGGCUCGGGCCCGCGUGAUUCCGGUUCGAAUCCGGAUACCCCCA